CUCAGGACGAACGCUGGCGGCGUGCUUAACACAUGCAAGUCGAACGAUGAUGCCCAGCUUGCUGGGUGGAUUAGUGGCGAACGGGUGAGUAACACGUGAGUAACCUGCCCCUGACUCUGGGAUAAGCGUUGGAAACGACGUCUAAUACUGGAUAUGAUCACUGGCCGCAUGGUCUGGUGGUGGAAAGAUUUUUUGGUUGGGGAUGGACUCGCGGCCUAUCAGCUUGUUGGUGAGGUAAUGGCUCACCAAGGCGACGACGGGUAGCCGGCCUGAGAGGGUGACCGGCCACACUGGGACUGAGACACGGCCCAGACUCCUACGGGAGGCAGCAGUGGGGAAUAUUGCACAAUGGGCGAAAGCCUGAUGCAGCAACGCCGCGUGAGGGAUGACGGCCUUCGGGUUGUAAACCUCUUUUAGUAGGGAAGAAGCGAAAGUGACGGUACCUGCAGAAAAAGCACCGGCUAACUACGUGCCAGCAGCCGCGGUAAUACGUAGGGUGCAAGCGUUGUCCGGAAUUAUUGGGCGUAAAGAGCUCGUAGGCGGUUUGUCGCGUCUGCUGUGAAAUCCCGAGGCUCAACCUCGGGCUUGCAGUGGGUACGGGCAGACUAGAGUGCGGUAGGGGAGAUUGGAAUUCCUGGUGUAGCGGUGGAAUGCGCAGAUAUCAGGAGGAACACCGAUGGCGAAGGCAGAUCUCUGGGCCGUAACUGACGCUGAGGAGCGAAAGCAUGGGGAGCGAACAGGAUUAGAUACCCUGGUAGUCCAUGCCGUAAACGUUGGGCGCUAGAUGUAGGGACCUUUCCACGGUUUCUGUGUCGUAGCUAACGCAUUAAGCGCCCCGCCUGGGGAGUACGGCCGCAAGGCUAAAACUCAAAGGAAUUGACGGGGGCCCGCACAAGCGGCGGAGCAUGCGGAUUAAUUCGAUGCAACGCGAAGAACCUUACCAAGGCUUGACAUACACCGGAAACGGCCAGAGAUGGUCGCCCCCUUGUGGUCGGUGUACAGGUGGUGCAUGGUUGUCGUCAGCUCGUGUCGUGAGAUGUUGGGUUAAGUCCCGCAACGAGCGCAACCCUCGUUCUAUGUUGCCAGCGGGUUAUGCCGGGGACUCAUAGGAGACUGCCGGGGUCAACUCGGAGGAAGGUGGGGAUGACGUCAAAUCAUCAUGCCCCUUAUGUCUUGGGCUUCACGCAUGCUACAAUGGCCGGUACAAAGGGCUGCGAUACCGUAAGGUGGAGCGAAUCCCAAAAAGCCGGUCUCAGUUCGGAUUGAGGUCUGCAACUCGACCUCAUGAAGUCGGAGUCGCUAGUAAUCGCAGAUCAGCAACGCUGCGGUGAAUACGUUCCCGGGCCUUGUACACACCGCCCGUCAAGUCAUGAAAGUCGGUAACACCCGAAGCCGGUGGCCUAACCCUUGUGGAAGGAGCCGUCGAAGGUGGGAUCGGUGAUUAGGACUAAGUCUAAAAGGGGGAAACCCAA
rnacentral:rRNA from 1 species